ACCUCGGGUGUGAGUCUGGGAUUUCCAUGUGACCUAUUUAAACCCUAAACCCAUCCCUUGAAAAGGGUAGUAAUAUUGGGGUCUUUUGCCCGGCGCUUCCCCCUCCCAAGAAAAGAAUAGCCGAUGCCUUGAAACGUGUGAAAUCUCGGGGUCGAACCUAUAGCUCAUGAGAGGGAUCUGGUUUGGCUGCCAUCAAUUCAAAUAUUGGUUCGCGGUUCAUGUUCCUCCCCUCCCAACCACCCAUUUU
rnacentral:telomerase_RNA from 1 species